rnacentral:rRNA from 1 species
UACGAAGGGGGCUAGCGUUGUUCGGAUUUACUGGGCGUAAAGCGCACGUAGGCGGAUUGUUAAGUGAGAGGUGAAAUCCCGGAGCUCAACUCCGGAACUGCCUUUCAUACUGGCAAUCUAGAGUCCGGAAGAGGUGAGUGGAACUCCUAGUGUAGAGGUGGAAUUCGUAGAUAUUAGGAAGAACACCAGUGGCGAAGGCGGCUCACUGGUCCGGUACUGACGCUGAGGUGCGAAAGCGUGGGAGCAAACAGG